ACGAUCAAACCAACAUUUGGGAUCACGAUCACUACACAGUCACUUGACCUGUCAACACAUCGCUUCUUUCUCUGUGAUAUCAGCAGAACAACACAAACAUCAUGAAGUCUACACUAAUGAUAUUGGCGGUGAUCUGUUUCGUCGCCCUAACAUUUAAUGGUGUUGAGAGCUGUUGUCAUCACCGCCAUAGUCAUCACCGUCACAGCAGCAGCAGCAGUGGCAGCGGCUCCAGCAAGUUCAAGAGUUUCUUUCCCUCAAGUUUCUCCAAAUCCGGACUAAGUUCCUUUGGUGGUUUCGGAUCCUUCGGAUCUUUUGGAAAGAAGUAAAAGACUGUAGGUACACGCGAGAAGCUGUAGAAUGGACAACGAAUAUGUCAGUGAAAUAAUUAAUGUGCAAUAAAUAAUGUUGAU